rfam:Gaeumannomyces graminis var. tritici R3-111a-1 unplaced genomic scaffold supercont2.1, whole genome shotgun sequence.
UCCGAUAUGGUGUAGUGGUUAACAUUCGGCACUCUCGAGCAGAGCAGAUGCUGGGCCCGGGGUUCGAUUCCCCGUAUCGGAA